GAUGAACGCUGACAGAAUGCUUAACACAUGCAAGUCUACUUGAAUUUGGGUUUUUAACUUAGGUUUGGGUGGCGGACGGGUGAGUAACGCGUAAGAACUUGCCUCACAGCUAGGGACAACAUUUAGAAAUGAAUGCUAAUACCUAAUAUUAUGAUAAUAGGGCAUCCUAUAACUAUGAAAGCUAUAUGCGCUGUGAGAGAGCUUUGCGUCCUAUUAGCUAGUCGGUAAGGUAAGGGCUUACCAAGGCGAUGAUAGGUAGCCGGCCUGAGAGGGUGGACGGCCACAAGGGGACUGAGAUACGGCCCUUACUCCUACGGGAGGCAGCAGUGGGGAAUAUUGGACAAUGGAGGAAACUCUGAUCCAGCAAUUCUGUGUGUGUGAAGAAGGUCUUCGGAUUGUAAAACACUUUUAGUUGGGAAGAAACAAAUGACGGUACCAA
rnacentral:rRNA from 1 species